GAUAUUCCCGUACCCGCUUCAAUGCGCCCAUAUUGAACCUCGUGAUGCUAAGAGUCCUUAAGUCCUCUGAUGUCCUUCGGGACUAGGGGUGAGGCUGAACGCUCGAUCCGAUCGGGUAGUAGGUAAGCGAUGGGGUGACGCAGGAAGGUAGUCCAGCCCAGGCGAUGGUUGUCCUGGGGUAAGCAUGUAGGGCGUGUCGUAGGUAAAUCCGCGGCAUUUAAGCCUGAGAUGUGAUGCCGAGCCGAUUGUGGUGAAGUGGAUGAUCCUAUGCUGCCGAGAAAAGCCUCUAGUGAGUGUUGUGGUGGCCCGUACCCUAAACCGACUCAGGUGGUCAGGUAGAGAAUACCAAGGCGAUCGGGUGAACUGUGGUUAAGGAACUCGGCAAAUUGCCCCCGUAACUUCGGGAGAAGGGGGACCUCUGUUGGUGAUGGGCUUUACGCCUGGAGCUGGUGGGGGUCGCAGUGGCCAGGGGGAAGCGACUGUUUACUAAAAACACAGGUCCGUGCGAAGUCGUAAGACGGUGUAUACGGACUGACGCCUGCCCGGUGCCGGAACGUUAAGGGGACCGCUUAGCUGACGUGAGUUGGCGAAGGUGAGAACUUAAGCGCCGGUAAACGGCGGUGGUAACUAUAACCAUCCUAAGGUAGCGAAAUUCCUUGUCGGGUAAGUUCCGACCUGCACGAAUGGCGUAACGACUUCCCCGCUGUCUCAACCGCAGACCCGGCGAAAUUGCACUACGAGUAAAGAUGCUCGUUUCGCGCAGCAGGACGGAAAGACCCCGGGACCUUCACUACAGCUUGACAUUGGCGUUUGGAACGUCUUGUGUAGGAUAGGUGGGAGACUGGGAAGCUGUCACGCUAGUGAUGGUGGAGUCAUUGGUGAAAUACCACUCUGGUCGUUUUGAACGUCUAACUCUGGUCCGUGAUCCGGAUCGGGGACAGUGUCUGGUGGGUAGUUUAACUGGGGCGGUUGCCUCCUAAAGAGUAACGGAGGCGCCCAAAGGUUCCCUCAGCCUGGUUGGCAAUCAGGUGUUGAGUGUAAGUGCACAAGGGAGCUUGACUGUGAGACUGACAGGUCGAGCAGGAGCGAAAGCUGGGACUAGUGAUCCGGCAUCGGCGUGUGGAAGCGGUGUCGCUCAACGGCUAAAAGGUACCCCGGGGAUAACAGGCUGAUCUUCCCCAAGAGUCCAUAUCGACGGGAUGGUUUGGCACCUCGAUGUCGGCUCGUCGCAUCCUGGGGCUGGAGUAGUCCCAAGGGUUGGGCUGUUCGCCCAUUAAAGCGGUACGCGAGCUGGGUUUAGAACGUCGCGAGACAGUUCGGUCCCUAUCCGCUGCGCGCGCAGGAGACUUGAAGGGGGCUGUCCCUAGUACGAGAGGACCGGGACGGACGAACCUCUGGCGUGCCAGUUGUACCGCCAGGUGCACGGCUGGUUGGCUACGUUCGGAAGGGAUAACCGCUGAAAGCAUCUAAGCGGGAAGCUCGCCUUGAGAUGAGGUCUCCCACCACGAGAGUGGGUAAGGCUCCCGGUAGACGACCGGGUUGAUAGGCCGGAGGUGGAAGCACGGUAACGCGUGGAGCUGACCGGUACUAAUAGGCCGAGGACUUGAC
rnacentral:rRNA from 1 species